AAUUGCAAUAUGACGUGAAUCAUCGAAUCUCUGAACGCACAUACGCGCCCUCUGGUAUCCCGGAGGGCAUGCCUGUUUGAGCGUCGU
rnacentral:rRNA from 1 species